CAGCGGUAAUACGUAGGGUGAGAGCGUUAGUCGGAAUUACUGGGCGUAAAGCGUGCGCAGGCGGUUAUGUAAGACAGAUGUGAAAUCCCCGGGCUCAACCCCAUGCAUGCCGGGGAUACUGGGGAACUGGAGACAGGUAGAGGCCAGCGGAAUUCCGGGUGUAGCGGUGGAAUGCGUAGAGAUCCGGAAGAACACCGGAGGCGAAGGCGGCUGGCUGGACCUGAUCUGACGCUGAGGUGCGAAAGCGUGGGGAGCGAACAGG
rnacentral:rRNA from 1 species